rnacentral:lncRNA from 1 species
GGAGGAUGGAGCUAGGGGCUGAGAAAGCUAGGGCAGAGCUCUAGAUCCCCGAAUUUUAGUGUGGGGGAGAGCUUGCUGUUGGGGAUCCAGACAUUAUAAAGGAGUUCUGGCCCACUUGUGAGAUUGGAGAGAAAGAUCUGAGGCUGUGACUCCAACGUCCUGGGGAAGAGGGAGCUUAAGAGACCCGCUUGAAGAUCCUGAGAGAAAGAAUGUGAGCCUGGGGGUGGGAGGGUCCUGGGCUCAGAGAAAGGGGACCUCCCUGCGCCUGAGGUCCGUGUCUGGGGACCUCUGCGCCUCACCUUCCAGAAUGCAAGGGGCGGGGUCACUCGGACUCGGUGGAAGAGGCCCCCGGACUUCCCUUCGGUGUGUCGGGUACAAGAUUUUGCAGCCUUUUAACGAGGAAGCCCCGCCCACGGCCCCGCCUUCUGCCCGCACCUUGCUGCGGUGCGGCUGAACCCGCAAGCGCUCGAGGAGGGGCACGGGCUGGAGUGACUUUAGGAGGAGGGACUGGAGCCUCGGAAACCGAGGGCGGCGGGACCAGCCCUGGCUGAAGUCCCAGCUCAUCCCUCUCCUGACUGCUCCAGAUCACCUACACUGGGGGCUGGACGUGGUGCCCCAUCCAGAAAUGAGGCAGCUGGUGCCUGCAGCGACACAGUGUGGGGACAGGAUUGUGCUCUCCAAGGAGGAUCACGUAAUGGCUGAGGUGGGAGAGGUUUAUGUUUGCAGAGCAAAAGAACCAGAUACCAAAGAAGACAAGAUAAACGGCCCAGAUGAUCCCACCUCGCAGACUGACUCAAUAGCUGUUUCUUCAAGAAUCUGCAUCCAGAAUGACUUCAAGAUGGCUAAAUAAGAUGGACGUGUGACAUACCAGCUCCUGGCAACACCCCAUCCUACUUUAAAGAAGAUGAUGAGCAUCGAAGAAUCAGCAUGUGGAGUUUGCUUCAAAUGUGGCAAGCUGCCACUAGGCAUAAACCUGCUCUAGCUUCCACUGUAGACAGCAUGUUAUCCAAACUUGACAAACAGGACAUGGAAGAAGUCAACUGCUGGACUUUGCAAGGACAAGAAACAUUGAACGACUAUCCAGGUAACCAGAAGCCUUUGCCAUUUCUACAGUUUUGGAAGCUAUUUGUUCUGCACUUCCUGUUUAUUCAGGCUCUCGUUGGCCUGAGGAUAGAUUGAGGAAGUCCUGGGUAUCCUCCUGUUUCCACCUCUCCAGCCCUGGGAUUACAGAUGUACUACCAUGCCCUGCUUUUCAUAUGGGUUCUGGGGAUGGAACUCAGUAAGUACUCACGGAAGGAUUUGGGCGGCUACCUCCUACUUGCCCAAAUCCCCAGCUGUCACUCAUAGCUGCUGGUUCUGGCCCUGGAACCUUGGAGACACUGGCAUCAUGGCAAUUAAAUCCAUAAGGGCAACUGCCACAAUAAUAAUAAUGAUGACAGCUAGCACUUACUAAACACUCACUAUGUGCAAGGCGUUCUCUGGGCUUUCCAUGCAAUAAUAGUCCGACUAAUCCUCCCAGCAGCCUCUGAAAUCUAUGUUACUAUUUUUUUCCAAUUAAAAAAAUAAAUAUCUGCAUCCGGGUGUGGUGGCUUGCACCUGUAGUCCUGGCUAUGCUGGAGACCAAAACAGAUGGAUAACCAGAGCUCAGAAACUGGAAACCAGUCUGGAAAAACUAGCAGUGGAGACUCCUCCAACUCCAAACAAGAACAACAAAAAUGGUUUAAGUAUCGAUUUUAUUCAGAGUUAGCUGGUAGUUUCUUUCCUCUUUGUUGAUAGCACAGAACUCUUGUUUCUCUUCAUUCACAUUGUUUUAUCUUCAUUCCAUACCACCUUUAUCAUUGUGUAUCUUUCGCAACUACCCUUAUUAGUGUAUCUCUCGAAGUAUUGUUUUUAUUAGCCUUAACUACUUAUCUUCAUCACUGUGUAUGUUUUCCUACUAUUUUUUUUCUUUAAUUAAGAUGUGGGCUUGGCAUGUAGCUUAGUUGGUAGAAUGUUUGCCUGUCAUCCUGCUGGGAACAAGCAAAAUAAACGUAUUCUUAGGACUACUUACUACUUGUCCUAGAAAUUGACUACAGAUUUCUAGAUGUGGCAGUACCUUGACCCACCGAGCCAUCACUGCAGCCCAGAUUAUAUAGUAUGUCCAGACUAUGAAGAGCCUGCCAGUUGGAAUAAAUGAAUUCAAUAAAGUUGCAGGACACAAAACCAACACACAAAAAUAGAUUUUGUUUCUCCACACUAACAACAAACUACAAGAAAAAAGAAGACAUGAGUUCAGUUCCCAGCACCCACAUUAGGUGACUCAUAACCUCCUGUAACUCCAGCCCUAAGGGGUUCCAACAACCUCUUCUGGCCUCAUCAGAGACAGUAAGAGUUUUGGAAGCAGACGUCUUUGGAUGAAGAUAUUGAUGCAGAGCAUUUGCACUCCAGCCUCUGGGCUCAGUGAGUCUCAAACUGUGACAACAAGCUGUGAGAGAGAUUCCAGAGCCAAGACCCGGGGACGGGGACGGAAGGUGGAGCCUGGAAUAAAGGCAAAGCUAUUGGGUCUGAGGGAGGAAGCUGGUCUGAGGGAAGGAGCCAGGGACCUCAGGGGCCUGGGCCUGAAGUAAGAGGCUAGGGUCUGGAGUCUCAAGUGAGAAGAAGAAGAA